AGGAGGAAGAGGAAGAAGAAGGAGGAGGAUGAAAGAAAAUAACAUUAUAGAUAUUUGAAAAGUUGUAAGGAAGAAUAAUAUUAGUUAUAUACAUUAAAACCUGUAAUAUACAUAAGUCUGUAUAUAAAUAUACACACAUGAUAUUCCCUUAUUUGGGUAGAAAAUGCUUCCUCUGAGAGCUAAACAGGAACAAACUAAUAAAAACCCCAAGGCUAGGCAUAAAAAGCCCUCUUUUGAGUUGCUGCUCAAGAGAAUACCCAAACAUUACAAUUAUUGCUACUGGUAUUUGGUUGUCCCUCCAGAAGUGAACGGUUAGUACUUAUUGUUGAAGACACUGUGCACUUCAGGCAUCGUGUCCAAAGGACUCUGAACUGGAACUCAACUGAAUACCCUCUUUUUGAGGACUAGAUUUCAUGAUCCCAGAAAGUGUCAUGCAAGCUUCUAAGGGAGGGGAGCAAUCAACAGUCCCAUCUAGCAUGACACUGCAGCACUGACCAGCAUGCCAUAUCUUGAACUUUUGUUUUUCUUUUCUUUGAUAUUCUACCAGGAAAACCUUAAAAAGCUAACCCCAAGGCUUGGAUAACCCCAAGGCUGUAGUAGCAGCACACAGUAGCAGCAGUAACUGAUCCCAAGACGUGUUCAACAAGAGGAAAGCAGAUACUUAAGGCUAAUGCCAAGCUAAUCCUGAGCAAAGCCUAGUAUUAUACUCUACUCAAUCUUUGUGCUAAUCCAAUCAAGAGCUCUGAAAAUGUCUUGGAAUUUUGCCAUGGGGAUCAGGAUGAUCAAAUUAUUGGAAACAAAUACUCCUCAGCAAUAAACAAAUGGAUAACAUUUCAUAAAAAUGUAGAAAUUACACACAUGUAACAUACUUCCCUAUAUUUGUAUAUUGUGAGGAGCAGGUGUGGCAGCAGUCCCAAGAUGGCGCCCAGAACUGUAGCCAAGUUUUAUGACUUUCACCUUCUUCCUCAUACACCUGAAAAUAAGCCACAUCCAUCGUGAGAACUGCACAAGUGCACCAUGAUGCAAGAUUGGACCAUAUGACGAGUGAUGAUUCUGGCCAAUGGACUGCUGUUACAUGGACUGGGCUGAUGGGGCAUGGUUGAGAGGAUAUAUAAGGAAUUGCGAUUGGGGUCGGGUUGGUUGGUGUUGUUUUUUCCUGGAGAGAUUGAUUUCUGGAGAGAGAUUCAUGCAUGAUGUUGAAAGGUUCCAGAAUAAACUGCUUUGAGAAGAACGUAGUGUUGUUGCUCUUUUCUGCUGGUCAGAACAGGAAGCGACAGUAUAUUAACGAUUGCUCACUCGUUUUGUCUGUGAUUAUGUUAAAAUGUCAGAGAACAUUUAUAUCUAUGUUAUUGUUGAGUUUAGGAAGGCUGAGGAUUUUAUUUUAUUUUAUUUUAUUUUAUUUUAUUUUAUUUUAUUUUAUUUUUUUCCUUUCUUUGAGAACGUGUCUCUUGUAGCAGAGACUGGCCUCAAAUUGCUAUGAAGCUGAAGCUGAACUUCUUGAACCCUGAUCCUCCUGCCUCUACACCUCAGGAGCAGACAUUGUAGGUGUGUGUCACCACAGAUGGCUUACAAUCUUACUGCGCUUAAAUGAAAUGUUAUGGUUGGUAUUUCACUUAUUCACAUAUUUUUAAGCUGUAAAUUGCUGUCUUGUAUCUUUAAUAAACAGUAAACC